rnacentral:sRNA from 1 species
GGUGUAGCUGAAAGGAAGAGGGAAACACAGUAUUGGUGCAUGCGAUUGGGUCCAUCUGCUUGGAAAUGCCAAACUCCACGCACCAGGCAUGCCCCAGUGAUAAGCUAUGAGGCACAAGGACUUGAAACUUCAACCAUCCUCCUGGCAGCCUGGGCUGAGCGGAGCCACUAGCUAUCCCCAAUUGCAUUGGGCGGAGCCUGUUUUGCCCGCCCACUGGGCGGUCUCUGAGCCCAGCCUUACUCAAGCCUCGGAAAGGGGGAGGAGCUCUUGUGCAAACCCAUCCUCCGCUGUGAUUGCACCCCAUACAAAAACCUACCUACAAAAGCAGACUGCAUUUGCAUUCUAAAGUCUCGCGGACAGAACUCAGGAGCCCUGAAUAAGGUCCAAGCAGCCGAGGACAAUGAAGGCUUCUCUGUCUACCUGGCAGCUUGGCGGGACCCAGGCCUAGGACAGACAGGCACUCAGGGCGACCGGAGGAUCCUUGCCGCCCAGGGAUCCCAGCGGCCCUCCUAGGGGAGGAGAGGUUCUCUAGGUUUACCUACAGAGCAAUCUGAUGAAGGUAUUUCCUCAACUGAAGUUCCUGCUUCUUAGACGGCCCGACCUGAUGUCAAGCUGACUGGAAACUAACACAGCUUUCUACCAGACCAUCAAAGAAUUCCUCCUUCAGAAGGGUGAGCACAGAUGUCUAUUGUAACCAUCUCCUGCCUGUUGACUCUGGAAGUUUGCCUCCAGCCCAGAUGUCUAUACUGAGCUAGAGCAUCUAGUCUCCAACUAGAAUAAAAACUCUCCUCUGUUGUAUACGUUGCUGAGCGUCCAAGCCAGACAUUUGGGAACACUGUAGAUGUUCAGUAAGUAGGUAUCAGUAAAUUAUACAAUUGCAUAUGCAACUUUCAUUUACUGGACUUGCCCAUCUUCAUGUCCCACAAAUAGCUCAAACUCAUGGCCAAGGCAUGACUUAAGCCAUAGCUGUCUUCUCCAAACUGCCUUUACCUUAUGGUAAAGAUCAGGAAACACUCUGGAGGACUGUUAGGGUCGGAAAUUCGGGCACUGUGCUUGCCUCUGGGUUCCUCCAUACCCACAGAGGAAGACAUCUUUCCAAUUCUAAUCCUUCCCAUUUCGGGACUCCAUAUCUACUUUGCCCUUCAUCACGUUUGAAAUCUCACCGCCUUUUGUUUGAGCAUGAAAUCGGCUCAUUUAUUUCUCCCCCUUCCAUGUAAGCUUUUCAAUCUGUUCUGUACAAUGCCUCCCAGCCUGAUCAUUUAGAACAAACAUUUCAAAGUUGUCAAAGCUUCUGUCCUGGUUAGGGUUUACUACUGCUGUGACCAAAGCAAACUGGGGGAGAAACGGUUUAUUUGCUUGCUUAUAUUUCCACAUAGUAGUCCAUUACAACGGAAGUCAGGACGGGAACUCAAGCAGGGAUGGAGCCUGGAGGCAGGACCUGAGGCAGAGGCCGUGGAGGGUGCUGCCUAAUGAUUUGUUCAGCCUGCUUUCUCCUGGAACCCCCAAGACCACCAGCUCAGAGGUGGCACCACCAACAAUGAACUGGACUCUUUCCUAUCAAUCACUAAUUAAGAAAAUGCCCUAACAGUUGAAUCUUACGGAGACCUUCUUUUGCAUUGAGAUUCUGUCUUUUCAGAUGACUGUAGCAUUUGCCGUGCUGACAUAAAACUAGCCAGCAUGGCUAUGAAUUCAUUCUACAUUUAUGGAGACUAUAAAAAAACAAAAAGAGGACAGACUGCCUCAGCUACACAUUUCAACAACAGCUACCCAACUUACUCAGCUGACUGGAUGGUGAAUGGCAGGCAAACAUUGGUAGCGCUUUCCCAACUCUGACUCAGUCUCCCUCAUUUCCUCUACUGUCGCUGGUGGUGACUUCACAAGGCGGUCUCUCCUUGGGGACUGCCACUCAUUUCCUAAGAUGUCUCGAUUCAUGCUGGGGUCUGCCAACUGAGGAAGGAAAAGGAGAACUGACACUUGGCCUGCAAGCCCAACCUACAGGGACUGCUGCCCACUGAGACUACCCUGUAACGUGAGACCUACCUCCCUCCUCCCAGCACUGAACUCACAAGAUGCUUGCAUUCACUGGUUUGAUACAUGGGACUCUACCCCCCCCCCCCCACUCCCGCCAUAGCCACCCCCUUUCUUUCCCCCCUCCUGCCCACAACACAUAACAGGCACCUUCUCUAGCAAGAAGCUCUGACUGAGAACUGCCCGGACCACGGAUUCCACAAUUUGCUCAUCAAAAUUCUAGUUGUUUGUUGUAACCAUCUAAAUUAUCUAAUCUUUAUACCAAUAAAGACACAGGAGGCAGAAA